rnacentral:rRNA from 1 species
UACGGAGGGUGCGAGCGUUGUCCGGAAUCAUUGGGCGUAAAGGGCGCGUAGGUGGCCUGGUCAGCGUGCGGUGAAAGCUCGGGGCUCAACCCCGAGUCGGCCGUGCGAACUGCUGGGCUGGAGCACUGUAGAGGCAGGCGGAAUUCCAGGUGUAGCGGUGGAAUGCGUAGAGAUCCGGAAGAACACCGGUGGCGAAGGCGGCCUGCUGGGGCAGUUGCUGACACUGAGGCGCGACAGCGUGGGGAGCAAACAGG